rnacentral:rRNA from 1 species
GACGAACGCUGGCGGCGUGCUUAACACAUGCAAGUCGAGCGGUAAGGCCCUUUCGGGGGUACACGAGCGGCGAACGGGUGAGUAACACGUGGGUGACCUGCCCUCAGCUCUGGGAUAAGCCUGGGAAACCGGGUCUAAUACUGGAUAUGACUCCAUGACGCAUGUUGUGGGGUGGAAAGCCUUGUUCGGCUGAGGAUGGGCCCGCGGCCUAUC